AUGGAUGACACCCGAUGCCCCAUUCUUAGUUGGAAUGUGAGAGGGCUCAACAUGCCUGCGAAACAUGAUGCAGUCUCUGAAGUUGUGGCAGCCCAUCGUCCCGCGAUUCUUUGUCUCCAGGAAACAAAGAUCGAGAGCUGAUCGCCGGCCUUAGUCAGGGACAUAGGAGGAGCUAGAUUAGCUGAUUGCAUAGUGCUACCUGCGUUUGGCACUAGGGGCGGGGUGGCCAUCUUCUGGGACCGUCAGGUCGUUUCGAUCGCCUCCCAUGCCAUUGGAGAGUUCGCCAUCACUACAAAGGUUACUGUCAACAGUUCAGCCACCUCUUUC
rnacentral:rRNA from 1 species